AACGCAUAUUGCGCCCUUUGGUAUUCCGAAGGGCAUGCCUGUUCGAGCGUCAUUAUCACCCCCUCAAGCCUGGCUUGUUGUUGGACCUUUUUUUGCCCGUCACAGGGCAGGUCCCAAAGAUAAUGACGGCGUCUGUGAAGACCCCAGUACACUGAGCUUUCGGGCACGUAUUGGUUUUUGUGUUUUUCAGACUGCCGGUCUCCUAAUUUGCCCACCGUCUCACGGUUGGGUGAAUACUUCUAAGGUUGACCUCGGAUCAGGUAGGAAUACCCGCUGAACUUAA
rnacentral:misc_RNA from 1 species